rnacentral:lncRNA from 1 species
CAGAACAGCUGCCAACAUGAAGCUUCUGGUGUGUGCCCUCGUACUGGUGCUGGUGUGCAGUGAGACUGUGCAUUCCCUCAAGUGUUUCACUUGUGUGAACGGGAACUGUAAGACUGCUACAGAAUGCCCAGAAUCAAGCAACUUCUGCAAAACCGUGGUGGGAUGUGAGUACUCUGCUGACUUUUAUACUCUAAAAAAUCAGGAAGAAAGAUGUACAGACAGUGAAAGCUGUUCUGCACUCACUAUAUUCACUAUAUUAUGUUUUAUUUUUUUUCUUUAGACGACUCCCUCAGUCGGACCUGUGAGGAGUUCUGUGUGCCUGGAGUUAAUAUCUACUGCUGCCAGGAGGAUCUGUGUGGCUGAGACCCAGCUAACCUCUGCAAUACUGCUGAAUCAUGAGCUUAAUCAAAGAGUUAUAAUAAUAAUAACCAUAUAAAAAUGACCAUAAUCCUCCUAAUUAACUGUAUCCAAUGAUUCCUAAUGCUUGAAUAAAAGCCUGCAGCAUCUAUUUUCUUCUUUUAGA